UACGGAGGGGGUUAGCGUUGUUCGGAAUUACUGGGCGUAAAGCGCGCGUAGGCGGGUUGUUAAGUUAGAGGUGAAAUCCCGGGGCUCCAACCCCGGAACUGCCUUUAAUACUGGCAACCUAGAGUUCGAGAGAGGUGAGUGGAAGUUCCGAAGUGUAGAGGUGAAAUUCGGUAAGAUAU
rnacentral:rRNA from 1 species